rnacentral:rRNA from 1 species
AGGGCACCACCAGGAGUGGAGCCUGCGGCUUAAUUUGACUCAACACGGGGAAACUCACCCGGCCCGGACACCGGAAGGAUUGACAGAUUGAUAGCUCUUUCUUGAUUCGGUGGAUGGUGGUGCAUGGCCGUUCUUAGUUGGUGGAGCGAUCUGUCUGGUUAAUUCCGAUAACGAACGAGACUCUAGCCUAUUAAAUAGACGUCGGGUUCUCUGCACUCGACGGUCUUCUUAGAGGGACAAGGUGCUUUUAGCACCGCGAAACAGAGCAAUAACAGGUCUGUGAUGCCCUUAGAUGUCCGGGGCCGCACGCGCGCUACACUGAAGGAAGCAGCGUGUAACAACCUUGUUCUAACGAACUGGGUAACCCGUGGAACUUCCUUCAUGAUUGGGAUAGGGGUCUGCAAUUGUGCCCCUUGAACGAGGAAUUCCCAGUAAACACUAGUCAUCAGCUAGUGCUGAUUACGUCCCUGCCCUUUGUACACACCGCCCGUCGCUACUACCGAUUGAAUGGUUUAGUGA